rnacentral:lncRNA from 1 species
UUUCUCAUUACUUCAUGAUAACCAGAAUGCCCUUCGAGGCCCAGAUGAAUUUAGGACAUAAUUCACUACAUGGCAACAUGACAGAGACAUUUAAAUCUGUCUCUACUGGUCUUCCCACUCAGAAAGUAGAAAGCCUUUUCCUUAUUAUUGAUUUGGAAGAUCUUUAAUAUAAACAAUCAUAUUCUUAUAAAGUCAGUGGCUAUGGAUACCUUUGACCUUUGGGAAGAUCUGUAAGAAUUCAUUUCUGAAGUUCUGCAGACGUCCUAUGUUAACACACCACUCCAUCCUUUGUUAACACACCACUCCAUCCUAUGUUAACACACUCCAUGGGAUGUUUCACUUCAUGUUUGUUCUUCUAGAAUGUCCUAUGCCAAUCAUCUCAGAAUUUGUGUCUCCUGAUCUUUAUUGAGGUUACUAUAAUGUGUCUUUAUAGCUGCCCCGUCUUCUGGUUGGGCCCAUUCCCACCUAGAAAUAGAAUCACAUUCCAGCUGCUCCCCUUCUUUCUCCAGCUUCCAUCUGUGACAACCCAGGGAUUCAAUACAGCCAUUUCUAGUGGCUUCUAAUCCAUAGAGCAUAAAAGACAACAUUUGUACACAGAUUAUCAGUUCUUUGUCAUGCUGUUUUCUAGGAUCAUGGCACUACAGGACAAUCCCUCCCCCAUAACUCUCCUGUUGCCAUGUCUUCAUAGGUGACAUUUAUUUAAUGCUUUGAUAUCUUAAAUGUAGUGGUCCCUAUUUUGGAUAAAUAGUAAAAUGCCUAUGUGUCUAUUAAAACAAGAGAAGAAAAUAUUUAGAAAAUAUUUAGGGUACAUACAAAGAUAUUUUGUUCAUUAACAAAACAUCCUGUGGGGAUAUGUGGUGCAGCAGCUAUGAGCAUGUAUAACUCCCUAUGAGCUUCAGACUCAAUUCUCAGCACUCCUCUAUUGUGAGCAUCUUCAUGUAGACCCUGCCUCCCAUGCCCUUAGGUGUGCUUCAGUGCCUGUAGAACUUUUCACAUAUUACGAGAUAUAGAAGAUGUUUGUUGAGUGAAUGUCUAUAAUGUAUAGGGUUGGACAUAUAAAUAAAUAAUAAUAAAAAACCCUGGGCAUGGUGGUGCAUACCUUUAAUCCCAGCAUUUGGGAAGCAGAGGCAGGCAUAUCUGUGAGUUCAAGGCCAAUUUAAUCUACGUAGUAAUUUCAGGUCAACUAGGGCUACACAGUGAGUACACAGUGAGACCCUAUCUC